GGUUCGAGUAUGAAUGAAGUUUUGAUAAUUUUUUUUAUUAAUUUUAUAAUGAAUUUUUUUUGUAAAUAAAAAAUUUUGUUUUUAUUUUUGCAAAGAUAAGUCUUCGUAAAUUCUUUUUAAUUUUUUUUUUUUAAAAAAAAAUUAAAGUUUUCUAGGGUAGAAUUUUUUGUAUGUAUAUUUUUCUAUUAUUAGUUUAGAGAAUUACUUCGGAGUUAACAGAAAUUCAUAUUUUAUCUAGUUCUUAUAGUAAAGUAAGUUUUACAUCGGUGUUGUAUUUAUAUUGUUUGGGAGGUAGAAUGUUCAAUAUUUAAGACUGUUCUUCUUUUUAGUAUAACGUGAUAUUAGUUUAAUUCAUCGUGAGAUAGAAUUGUUUAUCUUGAAAAAUAAUUUUUUUUUUUUAGGUUUUUAGUACGAAAGGAAAAAUAGUUGAAGUUAAAAACUUUAUGAUGUACGG
rnacentral:rRNA from 1 species